rnacentral:rRNA from 1 species
UACGAAGGGGGCUAGCGUUGUUCGGAUUUACUGGGCGUAAAGCGCACGUAGGCGGUUUGUUAAGUCAGGGGUGAAAUCCCAGAGCUCAACUCUGGAACUGCCUUUGAUACUGGCAAGCUAGAGUCCGGAAGAGGUAAGUGGAACUCCUAGUGUAGAGGUGGAAUUCGUAGAUAUUAGGAAGAACACCAGUGGCGAAGGCGGCGAUCUGGGAAGAUACUGACGCUGAGGUGCGAAAGCGUGGGGAGCAAACAGG